CGCGUAGGUUGUCUGUUAAGUCGGAUGGUUAAAUUGCGGGGCUUAACCCCGUAUCGCCUUCGAAACUGGCAGACUUGAGGGCAGGAGAGGGAAGGAGAAUUCCCGGUGUAGCGGUGAAAUGCAUAGAUAUCGGGAGGAAUACCAGUGGCGAAGGCGCCUUCCUGGACUGUUUCCUGACACUGAGGUGCGAAAGCCAGGGUAGCGAACG
rnacentral:rRNA from 1 species